GAGUAAUGUCUGGGAAACUGCCUGAUGGAGGGGGAUAACUACUGGAAACGGUAGCUAAUACCGCAUAACGUCGCAAGACCAAAGAGGGGGACCUUCGGGCCUCUUGCCAUCGGAUGUGCCCAGAUGGGAUUAGCUAGUAGGUGGGGUAACGGCUCACCUAGGCGACGAUCCCUAGCUGGUCUGAGAGGAUGACCAGCCACACUGGAACUGAGACACGGUCCAGACUCCUACGGGAGGCAGCAGUGGGGAAUAUUGCACAAUGGGCGCAAGCCUGAUGCAGCCAUGCCGCGUGUAUGAAGAAGGC
rnacentral:rRNA from 1 species